AUUGAACGCUGGCGGCGUGCCUUACACAUGCAAGUCGAACGGCAGCGCGAAGAGGGAAACCGAUUUGGCGGCGAGUGGCGAACGGGUGAGUAGAGCAUCGGAACGGACCUAAUUGACGGGGACAACCUAGCGAAAGCUAGGCUCAUACCGGAUAAGCCCGAGAGGGGAAAGGCUGGGGAUCCUGGAGACAGGACCUGGCGCGAAUAGACCGGCCGAUGUCUGAUUAGCCAGUUGGUGGGGUAAAGGCCUACCAAGGCGACGAUCAGUAGCUGGUCUGAGAUGAUGGUCAGCCACGCUGGGAAUGAGAGACGGCCCAGACUCCUACGGGAGGCAGCAGUGAGGAAUCUUGGACAAUGGGCGAAAGCCUGAUCCAGCGACGCCGUGUGGGUGAAGAAGGCCUUCGGGUUGUAAAGCCCUUUUGGUAGGGAAGAAAGAGCGAGUAUAAAUAGUACUUGAAGAUGACGGUACCUACAGAAUAAGCACCGGCUAACUACGUGCCAGCCGCCGCAGUAAAAC
rnacentral:rRNA from 1 species